rnacentral:lncRNA from 1 species
CCCUUCACCCCUUCUUUAUUGCUCUAUUAGUCGAGCACUCCAUGUGCCCGGGGCAAUUAGUGCCCAACGCCUGGAGGAUGCUCGUUUACUUUUUUAUAGCAUGUAGAUACUUAGGUAUCGAGCCCAACGUUAGCCUCAGCAAGUUAGUGUUCGAGCUUAAGAAGCAUCCUCGAUACACGUGUUUUGGCUAUCUCUCGACGACUGGGGGCUUUAAAGUCCCGAGGAUGGCGAGCUUUUUAAAGGGGUGGAGGGCGGGGUGGUUUUAUGUGGUAGCCCCAGAACCCGAUCUUCCUUUCUGGCCUGAUUGGGGAAUCCCCGACGCCGAGAAGUUCUGUGAGGGCCAGGUGUAUCCGGAUGUUUUGGAAGAGCAUAGGAGGAUGCUGGUCGGGCUCAGCCCCCUUUUCUCGACGAUGAAGGAGAUUGGGGAAGAGGUUUUAGACCUGGCAGAUAUUAGAGGCGUCGAGGGUAGGGAUGUUCCUUUAUUGUUAUUUUUUGAAAUAUACCCUGACCUUAUGCUCGUUCUAAAAUGUUUGUAAAUAUUUGCAGGUAUGUCUUUUGAUCCUCGUGCUCUCCGGAAUUUUGUCAACACAAGGGGAGGCGCCCCUCCACAGGGGCAGCCCUCGAGGAAGAAAAGCAAGAAGAGGCCUCGAGGGGGUCCUGAGGUUGCGAGGGGGCCUGGCGAAACUUCUCGAGGACAUCCAGAAGUCUCGACCCCUCUGCAACCGAACCUCAGAUCUCCGACUCCUCGGGUCGUCACUCCUCGGCCUCCUUCUGAAGUGGUUGACCUCGAGGAUGAGCCGUCUCUCACUGGGGACUUUGGGACUUGUCACCUCGCUCCUGAG